AUCUGGUGAAGCUGCUGAAGACAGAGCAGCCUUGGAGGUUCGGCGAGUGCCUGCUGGAAAAGGAUAAGAGAAGAGCAGUCGAGUACGCCUGCCAGGCCCUGCCGUACCUGGAGAGCCCACAGGAGCCCGUGCGAGAGGCGGCCCUCAGGUUCAUUGGGAUCGCCGGGAGGUACAUGAGGG